AAGCUUCUGCCUAAUCGUGUGUAUCGUCUCACCGCCUGGGUGUAGGGGGAAAGCCCCGGCGCAAAAGGGUGUAAUAAAUGUAUUAGUCAGUCAGUGUCUACGUAUUCCUACUUGGGUGGGGGAAAAAGGAAGGCAUGACUCAGAAUG
ensembl:ncRNA F16F9.12 ncRNA